UAACUCAUUAAAGAGCUGGGAUAUGCUGUCUUUCUGACAUAUCACAGCUAGCUUUGAUGAGCUACA
rfam:Octopus bimaculoides Scaffold40646_contig_7, whole genome shotgun sequence.